UAAUGGGAUGGUAAGUGAGAAUAAAAAAUAUAGAAAAAAAUAAUUCGUCUCUCAAAUCUGCCAAGAUUUGCUAAGUAAAUAGAGUAGGAGACGAAAGACCUCUUUCUUUCUUUGAACCAUCGCGAUCCACCAAAAAUUCGCUCUCGUCCGAAUCCGUUUUGAAUAGAGUGAUAAGUGGCCGCCAAAAAUAAGAUUAAAAGUAAUCCGCUCUGUAUCCGUCCCGACCCAACAAAAAAUGAAGAUGGAUGAAGAAAAUGCCUCCUGGCUCUCGAUCUGCCCUAUUUGCAUUCCUACUCUAUUCUAGAAUAGAUAGAAUUUAGGGUGGGUUUGGUUCGCAUUAAGAAAAAUUACUAGGGGUAAAAAGAUAUCCGAAAAUCUUAUUCCUAUUCAUCCUAUUACUAAAAAUGUAGUAUUUCGGUGUUUGGUUCGCACGGUCAUAUUAUUUAGUCAUAUUAUUUAAGAUUAUGAAAAAUAUACAAUUAAUUAAUUUAUUUAUUUAAUUAAUUUUAAAUAAUACUAUAAAAAAUUUCAACAUCUUUUAAGAAAAAAGAGAGAGAAUAUAGGUUAGAAAGAGAGAGUAUAGUUAAAAAAAUAGAAAGAGAAAUAGAGUCAAGGCUAGAGAGAAUAAAAGGGUUGAGAUUUUAGUAAAAGAGAGGGAGAAAUAGCUUAAUUUAGAGAGAGAAAAAGAAUUGAAGUUUAGAAAAAAAAGAGAUAAAUUUAGAGAGAGAUAUGAGGUUAGAGUGUAAAGAAAAAUAAUACCAACUAGUCGGUGGAUGGGAAGAAAAAAAAAGAGAUUAGACAUAUUAUAAUUACUCAAAUCCAUUAAUAUAAAAAUACUUACCCUCCUCAAAGGAAUGAGAUUAGUACUUUGGAAUGCAUCUCAAUCCCAAGUAAAUUUACCAACUAGAUUACUUAGUGCGUUUAGCCAAACACCGUCAUAUUUUUUUAUUUUUAUUGGAUUAUUAGAAAUCUUAAAAAUAUAGCGCGAACCAAACGCACCCUUAAGGUGUAUAUUUAGA
rnacentral:lncRNA from 1 species